UACAGAGACUGCAAGCGUUACUCGGAUUCACUGGGCGUAAAGGGAGCGCAGGUGGGCAGGUGUGUCGGGCGUGAAAUCCCGGGGCUUAACCCCGGAAUGGCGCCCGAAACUACCUGUCUAGAGGAUUGGAGAGGCGGGUGGAAUUCCAGGUGUAGCGGUGAAAUGCGUAGAUAUCUGGAGGAACACCGACGGCGAAGGCAGCCCGCUGGACAAAUCCUGACACUCAGGCUCGAAAGUAUGGGGAG
rnacentral:rRNA from 1 species